rnacentral:lncRNA from 7 species
UAGGGUUUUUGUACAAAAUACUAGUGAGAGGAGAAACCAAGGAAGGUGCCAGUGAACUUCUUCAGCAGAUGAGGUAGAGGAAAACCUCUGGUGUAUAGCAAGAUCAUCAAUGAGGAGAUAUGAACUGGAGGAGCAAAAUGGGUUCUGAGGUGGUGAGGAAGGCUGACCUGCUGCAUCUCCUUUGAGGGUGGAAGAACUGGGAGGCUGAGGAGCUGUAGUUCCUUGAGGUCUUUGUGGUGCCUCUUCCCCUGUGCAGAAGAAAGGAGCAAUCCCAGAGCAGUGUUUAAGAUGGCACUCAUGUACAGCAGGUAGAGUGAAGGAAAGAGUCUGGCAGGAAAAAUAAAUGAAGCAGAGAAAUGGAGGAUACACCCUCUUCUGAUGCUUUAAUUGGGCUUCCUGAUGGUACUGCUGUGUCCCUGUAUGUGGGAUUUUGGAACCCAUGUACCUGGUGAUGCAGGCACAGGGUUUUGAGGUGCUAGGCCUGACUCAUUAUAGUAUAUGGUGAAUAAUAGGAGUUGGCUAAAUGAGCACUGCAAGCACAGCAAGCAGAUACCAAAGUCUGAUGAGUACCAUCAAUGAAAUGGCAAGCAGGAUGGGCAAGUGGUCUUUGUGGUGUGAAAUCAGGCAUUCUGGUCGUCUUCCCUACAGCUGUUACCUAGCUGUGUACUAUUCUGUGAGCCAGAAAUAUUCUCUACCCAUAGUUCUGUAGAGUUUUAUGAUCUAGCUGCAGCAGCAAGCUGGCAUCUCUGCUGGUAUAGAGUAUUCCAAAGCAGAGAAUUUUUCCUGUAAAUGUGAUUCAGUGACUUAGAGAAAUCAUUUCAGCAGCCUACUUUCUGUAAUGGAAAAAUAAAUGCCGAGCAAAUAAAAUUUCAUACUGGUAGAAGUUAUGAGGAAAAUAAUUUCAAUGCAUUAUGAGCAAAUUUUGUUACAUAUAGUAAGACAUUGUGGAAUAGGCUUUUAUUUUUUUCCAUCUGGAUGUGCCCUGGUUUUUUGUGCAACUCUAACCUAAUUUCUUCUGAUUUUUAAGCUCUCCCUCAAAUUUGAUUGGCUUCCUAAUGACAUGCAGCGGUAUCUUACAAAUUGUGAGAAGACCUGACAAAGAUGAACUUAAAUGAUUUUAUUGAUGCAAAACGUUUCACUGCAGUCUGUUCUCAGAGUGAUAUAUGUAAACAGUUGAAGAUGCUCUUGUAUUUCUGCCAUCAAACUUCAGCUAGAGCUGGGGGAACUCAUUGCCGUGCAUCCUCUUUCUUCCUGAAAAUGCUGAUUUGAAGUGCAAAGCUUCACUGCUUUUUCAGAAGAGGAAAAAAAAUAAUAAUUAAGUGUUGAAGUAUGAGGUUUCUACCCUGCAUCAGUAAUGGCGCAGCCUUGAGGUAGGCAUGGGAUCUGUCAUUCAGGACUCCCUGGGGUUUUGGUCUCAGCCUCUGCUGCUGGAGCUGCUCUUCUUUGUGUAAAUUAAAUCUUAGUGGGAAGCACACUUAAACCUGUGGUUUAUCAUGUACUGGCUGUAUGUCAUGCCUUAUCUUUGUAUCUUGCCUGCAGUAAACAUUUAUAAAUAAAAAGUAGCUCAGCU